rnacentral:lncRNA from 1 species
GAGAACUUAAGGCCAUUGUGUUGGCAUAAAGAGAAGUGGAAAGAUUCUAGAGAUGUUUCUAAGGUGGAAAUCAAAGGAUCAGGUGGAGGAGGAAGAAGAAGGAGAUUCUGAAAUGGUGUCAUAGAAACCAAGGAAGGAAAUAAUUUUUUUUAAAAAAAGUCAUACUCAACAAAACCUCCCCAAAAAGGAGACCAAGAGAUCAAACAAGAUUAUUACCUAAAUCAGUGCCUUGAUAAUAAAAGCUCCCACAGUCCACUACAAGGCACUGUUAGAAGCUCUUUUUCAGACUCAGCAAUAUUAGACUCUCAAAA